CUCGGAGACUCCAUGGCUUCGAGAGCAACACAAAGAAGAAAACAAAACCAAGGUUUCAGGAUUAGCACACAAAAAAAGAUCUCUUGCUUUUAUAUCAAGAAAAGCCGGAGCCUAUAGGAGGCCUCAUAUAAUUGAAGAGAAGGAGUAAGUUUCACCACAUGGCAACCCUAGCACCAUUGUUUUCACUCAAUUGAAGCACUACCAGACAAAGCCAUUGCAGAUAUAUAUGAAGGGAAGGAAGAAAAGAUCAGCUUUUGAGGUGGAAAUCAGAAGAGAGACCCACCUCAACAAACAAGAAGGAAUAAAAAGAAGCAUUUACUUAAUUAGCCUUUGCUUCCUCUCUCAUUGUAGUGGAAAGGUAAUACCCAACUGGAUUUUCUUUGUUUUAAAAGAUAAGGACAAAACAAAAAGAAGUAAAACAACUGUCACCAAAACCCAAAAGUUUAUAAAGACAGAAGUUUACAAUUUACAAGAAUAAAUUGUCUUCAUUGCAUUUCCUGUUUCUCUGGCGUCACCUUAAAAUGUUCUUUCAAUGGAGGCCCUCUUGGUGACAGCUUGCAAAUCAAAGUGUGUGUGUGUGUGAGUGAUGAGUUCCUUAUUACAAAAAGGGUUGUUUUGUUUUGACUUUUGACUCUUGUUUGAGUAAUGUAAACAUAUUUAUUUAUUUAGCUUUGAGCUUUAACACAUA